UUGCCACUUGAAUCAAAUACAAUCCCACCGAUAGUACAAAUUGUUGCUCCGGGAGCAAAAUGCUAGGCACAACCGCACAAGUAGAUAAAUUAUAGGCCACAACGGUGAUUUCUUCUCGCCCGGAGCCCAGCCGAAUUAGAGAGAAGAGGCGUAGAUGAUGCGGUUUGCGCACAUGUUCUGAAGGAUGCCUCCAUCUGAGACUCAAACUUCCACUCGAUGCCUUCUGGUUUCAUCUCUC
rnacentral:lncRNA from 1 species